rnacentral:lncRNA from 1 species
CAGUGGUUUUAUGCCUUAAAGGUACACAUGCGUUUAAACAAGAUCUCAUCUCUAGGUUAGGGUAAACUGUUAAGAUUUAAACUUACUCAUAUUACCUUUCACCAUGGGGCUUGCAACCGUCACUUGUGUCUUGAGCAGUUAAAAGAUAGAACGGUCAAGUCAAGCGCCAUGGCUCUUGUUCUUUGAUCAACUAUAGCUCUGGAGUUUUUGCAGAUUUUCAAAAUAAAACUCAUAGAUUCCUUGUAUGACUCUCUCAAUUCUCUCUUUUGUGGUAUUUCUGGAUCCUUAGCAAGGCAGUAAUGGUGUAUGCCUUCUCUCAAAGUAUGUGGUAUUUUUGGUAUGAGGCAUAGUGACAUUGCCUUCUCUCUCACCCUACUCUAAUAAGGUUUGAUAUCUGGAGCUAGCUCAUAGGUGGGAGACAGCUAAUAUAUACUUACAAGACAUCUAUUGCAUAGUCAAACCAUGGAUCGAGACAAACGAGUCAAUAAGUUAAAUCAAGAUGUGCAUGUGUGGCGAAUGAAUGGUGUAUGGUGAUGAUGGUGAAAACAUUGGUGAAAGUCUAAUUCUACUUUUGCUCUUUUGAGGGGAUACAUACCUUUCUUGCACUUUGAAGGUUUUUGAGAGGAAUGAGAUGCUCUAUAUUUUCUUUUUUUUCUCUCAGGUGGGUAUCUUGUACCCCUAAUUCUACUGUCGGACACUUGUCCAUUUUUACCUCUCGUCUCACUUUUUCUUUUCUUCGAGGUUCCGGGCACUUGCCCCUUUUUAUUUCCUAGUACUUUUUUUUCUCUUUUUUUCGGAGCACUCACCCUCCUAGAAUAAUGUAGCAAGUGGUAGUAACCAAAAUAUCAAGACCAUUUAUUUCACGGGGAAUAAUAGGGAUAGGAUAAUGUUUUUGGCUAUUCUCUCCUGGAUAGGAGUAGAAUAAUUUUAGGUGAAUCUGGAGAUGGAAAGGAGUGGAUGUAUGUGGAUGCGUACUUCUGUAGUAGAAGCAGCAUGUAUGAGUGAACGUGCAAAUGAAUCUUGAUUUUAACCGCAUGACAAGCUCCUAAUGGUCUACACAGCUUGACCACACUCAAUGCUCAUAAGCAGUAAAAAGUAAAUAUAUGGUUCAUAGUCUAAUAAGCAUGUAUAUGUGGUUGUGGUAGGAUUUUAAACUCUCAUCAUACAGGAACUCAUCAUGCAACAUUUUAAAGAUUUUCAAAGAUAAAAUUCUCCAGAAUUCUAGCAUCUCUUGGAACAGAUAAGCAGCAGCUCAACCUUCACAUAUCAUAUCCGUUAACGACUUAGACUUUAGAUCAAGUACUCUUCCCACAAGUUCAGGUUUAGAGCAAAUCUUAAUUCAUAACAGUCAUGCCUAAACUUGAGAGAGAUUUCACUUUUGAGAACUAGUCAUGGCAGAGCAACUAUUCAUCAUUUCCAUGUGAGAGCUUAUCAUGAGGGUUCAUAGCAAACUUUAUUUAUUUAUUUAUUUAGCAAACUAAGAAAAGAUAUAUAUAUAUAUAUAUAAGCCUAAAAUUUUUAUUUGGGUUUUUAUGAUUAUGCAUCUUUUUAUUAUUUUAACAAAGUAUAAGUAUAAACGUAGAUAGAAAUACUUAGCUGGAUAAAUGGGGGUGCUCUCCCCCAAGCUGGAUUUUGACGUAAUUUCUUCUGAGGUAGCUAGCAGGUGACGGAGGUGUACUUGAAUGUCGGCAGCACCCUGAUAGCGAUUAGGAUGUCCUCCGUCUGCUAGUCUUCUUUGAUCCUUGAAUUCUGUGGAGCUCAAAUAGACAACAAAGCUUUGUGGAACUGGUUAAGUGUUAGCAUAAAAUCUCUUCGCCUUUAUCCUGUUCAGCUUCCUGUAAUAAAUAUUACUCUCUUUGGUAGGAUCAUAAAUUUAUUUUUAUAUUUUCAUUUCUAUAGGACAAGAAUAUAUUUUUUUUUUUUACGCCACCACAGUGAAUGUACUUAUGGGUUUCAUGCCAUGAGCAUAUUCACAUGCGGCUUAGUAUUUUUUUAACAUUUUUAUUUUCUUUUCAAGAUAGCAUGAUUAACUAAUAAGCUUUAUAAGGAAAGUAAGUAAUUAAAGGGAAAAGGGAAUGCAGAAAGGAUAAAUAUGGAUAACUACCGAUUUUACCUUUCGGCGAGGGUUCAAUGUUUUAAGUGUUCUGAACAAGACUUCUCACCGUGUUCAUUCUUUAGGUGCGUCAUUUGAUUCAGGUGCGGACCUUGACAUCUGCACCUCUUGAUACAGUGUCACCCAUGUUCUUCGUUUGCCCAGCAGUUCGAAGUGCGGCGUUGGCAGCAUCCUGCUCAGUGUGUUUGUGCUCGUAGUGUACCUGCUCAUAGAGACAAGGCAGAGAUCAAGUGCAUGGGCCCUGUUGGUGGAAAACACCAACAGAACCAAAAGUGUAUUUGUUCUUCUCUAACCUUAAGCGUGGUGAGCAAGACAAAGUUGAUGAAUGAUAAGUUCAUGAGUGUAGCAUUUAAAACAUUUGCCGGAUCAGAUCGCUCAACCUAAUGGAAAGAUAAUCUAUCUAUAUAUAUGCCUUUUUCUUUAUAUCUUCCCAAAGAUUAAAUGUGCAACAUUUUAGCUCAUAUGGUUAGGAGUGUGGGAUCAUGGAGGUAGUACUAGGAACAAAGAUUAAAGGACUAAACAUGUUGAUUCAGUUGGGUUGGUUAAUUUAGAGUUAUAAAUCAUACAUAUUUGUCUCUUUAUUUAUGUGAACGCCAGAACUAAGGAGAAGCUUAUAAAAGUGAUAGUCAGAUAUCUUAAGAUGUUACCUUACUUGAAGAGUGAUGGUAUAGUAUCACCUUCUGGAGGCUUUCCUUUCGUAGUGGUUGUGUAUCUUGUUUAUGUACUUUGUCUCCUUCCAUGGAUCAUCUCUGUAUGAUGAAUGAGCUAUGUCCUUCUUGUGCAAAUUGUUAAACUUCAUGUGUUACUCUCUUCAUCUCCGAUGUGAGUUUAUCUCAGGACUUCCCAGGUUGAUAGUGAAAGUUUUCCUGUAGGGUUUAGUCCGACAAAAUAUACCAAUACCUACUCAAGCAGUUUUUAAUUCAGUAACCAAACUAGACUCCAUGUCUAAUCAGAUUAAGGAAGGCUAUUUAACCUAAGCACCAUGCUCAAUUUAAAUGCCAAUGGAAGUAUGUCGAGUACUUCCAAACCAACACUUCCUAGAAAAUAGACAAAGGUAGCAUGACAGCAUUUACAGAGAUCUACUCAAGUGGAGAUAGAGUAGUGUGAUUAGUAUUUAACAAAUUGAGCAUGUCUCAAAGGUAGGGACAACCAACAUAGCAACAUGGCAAAGGAUGUUAAGUGCUCCCCCAAGCUUGAAUUUUGCAAAAUUCAAGUUUGGAUGAAUUUAAUUCAAUGUUGUAUGAUGAUUGGUUGGACAUACCUUGUGCUUGUCAUUCAUCUGAUCUUCUUGGUCCAAUCCUGGAAAGGUUAGUGACAAGAAUACCCACAGUAAUAUUUUUACAAUUAUCCUUAUAUGCUCAAUACACAAGGUAAUGUUGCAAAUAAUUAAACGCUCAUGUUACGAUCUGAUCAAUGCUUAUUUUAGGACACUAAGCUUGUCCUUGGGAAACCAUCAAUUUAUGUCGGUGAAGUGGUUUCCCUUCCAACGCUGACCUAUAUCAAGAUCAACUCAACGAGAUCUGCAAUAUUUAUUAUAGACAUAUGCAUCGACAACCGCCCUUUUAAAGUUUUUAUAAAUAGAAAGAAAGAUCAACUCCGAACAUCAAGUGUGGUGAUGUCAGAGAGACCAAUAGAUUGGGAAGAUGUUGUAUAUGAGCAUGGAGUAAAUGAAAUGGCUAUGAAAUAAAUUCCAUGCUCAUUAAUGUUAUCUUCGUCUCCAAUCUGAAUGUUCGGAGUUUGUCCUGGAUUGGUCUCACCUAUGUCCUCUUCUAUAGUUGGAUGAAUCUCAUCUUCAAAGGGAGUCAAGAACUCACCAUUUGAAAUUCAGCCAAAGUCAAAAUCCAUUAUGGCUUCUUCCUUAUCCAUCCAUUCUACACAUUCUAGCCAUUCAGAACUUGUGAUCAGGAAAGGGGAGGUGUUAGAAUUUUCUAUAUGGCUUAGCUCUCCUUCACUUGAUAUGUCAUCCUCAACUUCUUCAUAAUAGGAACCAGGACAUUCUCUAAGAGAAACAUUAUUGCAAGGAUUUGAAUUAUCCUUGCUUGAAGGUCUCUUAUGGAACCAGAAGUCUAAACCAUCAGUAUCUGAAAUAUUUAAGGUCGGAAUUCCUUCCUCCCUUGGAGAAUUUUGGGGUAUUGAUGGUUUAGGAUCGAUAGCUAAAGUUUGAAAUUGAAGUGGUUGUGAUCUGGCUAUCGAAACUUCUUCUUCUUGUCUAGGAACUGGUUCUGUAUCUUUCUUAGGGAUAUAAAAGCUAGGAGACUUUCCACUCAUUAAAUCAAUCAAAUUCCAAGCUUCACUAGAGGAUAGGUGGUGGAAAGAUCCUCCAGAGGCCGCAUGAAGGGUUUCCUUAUUUUCCCCACUUGCUAGGUUGACCACUUGAAUACUAGGUUGUCAUCCCCAGCAUGGCACUAGAGUGUACUAUGGUAUUUAUACGCACACAGAUAAUCCGGAAGUGCACGGAUACCGUUGUAGCCUUUUACCCGGUUAAAGGUUUUAUUGUAUCCACAGGGAAACGGGAGAACUGAUCUACGCUCUAACUUAACCAAGAUAAGUAAAUAGGUGUAAAUAGGAAAGAUGGUAGAAUCGAAUAAGAACAAUAUUAAAGGUAAGAUAACGGUGAGUGACAAUAUGGGAAUAGAGAGUAGAACAAUCUAGUAUAUGGGCGAUGGUAGCAGAAUAGAAAGGAUAACAAUGGUUUCUCUACUUCAAAGGGGUAUGUCUAUGUCUGGGACGAACCACGUGAUAAGAUUACACCACAAAGGAUGCUUAUCCAUAGGCCGAUAAACCCUACCCAUCCUGCUAACGAGAUGUGGACUACAGAGGACCAACGUAACUGUCACCUACGUGGCCUACCACACGAUCCAGCUAGACAGGGGAUAUCCACAAGUAAUCUAGGUCUAAGCACCAUGCUUACACCUAUACUACAACUCUAACCUAUAGGGUCCUAUAGAUUAGAAGUACUCAAAAGAGCUGUGAACCAGAACAUACAUGAUUAGUAAUUGCAUAAUGAAUUAGAAGUAGAUUACCAGAGUCAUCCCAUGAGCAAGCUUGAUUAGAGCUUGAUUAUGACAAAGUACAACCGGAGGAAGAACCGACAGGCCGGCCUCUCAUCUGACCCUCCUUCGCUCUCUAUCUCGCUACUAUCUAGAUCUACUCUAGUUUAGAUAAGAGAGGAGAGCUCUCAUCUCUAAACCCUAGCUUCUGCUCUGUCUAUGAAUAAUGAAUAAUGAUCAAGGGGUGCCUCCUCCAGGUGCCAGGGGGUCUGGUUUUAUAGUCCCCUCAAGUGAACCUGGGCCGUUGGAUCAAACCGACAUUGAUUGAACGGUUAUCCUUGAUCCUUUAGGUCGGUGGAACAUCAUCCCGAAAGAGUGUCCUGAUCCAACUCUGUAGCUGGGCGGGCGCCCAAGGGGGGAGGGCGGGCGCCCUGCCCCCGGGCCCGUUCGGCCUCCCGUUCGUUCCGGUGGCUUCUGGAGUCUUCUAGAUGAUAGAAAAUUGCGCGGCACGUUAAUAUCUCUAUGUAAACCCGACAUGUGGGCCUUUCCUCCAUAUAUUCUGAUAACCCCCUAUAGAAAUAGACAAACAACAAAACUCAUGGAAUUCUGCCAGAUAAAACCCUAAGUUUAAAUGUUGGUUGUAUUUGGAUCCUUUUCUUUGUUUAUUUGCUGAUUAUAAUUGGUACUUAAGGACCGUCAACAACUCCCCCAAGCUUACCUCUUGCUCGUCGCUGAGCAAGAAUGGACUCAAAAGUUUCUGCAGUGGUUUUAUGCCUUAAAGGUACACAUGCGUUUAAACAAGAUCUCAUCUCUAGGUUAGGGUAAACUGUUAAGAUUUAAACUUACUCAUAUUACCUUUCACCAUGGGGCUUGCAACCGUCACUUGUGUCUUGAGCAGUUAAAAGAUAGAACGGUCAAUUCAAGCGCCAUGUCUCUUGUUCUUUGAUCAACUAUAGCUCUGGAGUUUUAGCAGAUUUUCAAAAUAAAACUCAGAGAUUCCUUGUAUGACUCUCUCAAUUCUCUCUUUUGUGGUAUUUCUGGAUCCUUACCAAGGCAGUAAUGGUGUAUGCCUUCUCUCAAAGUAUGUGGUAUUUUUGGUAUGAGGCAUAGUGACAUUGCCUUGUCUGUCACCCUACUCUAAUAAGGUUUGAUAUCUGGAGCUAGCUCAUAGGUGGGAGACAGCUAAUACAGACUUACAAGACAUUUAUUGCAUAGUCAAACCAUGGAUCCAGAGAAACGAGUUAAUAAGUCAAAUCAAGAUGUGCAUGUGUGGCGAAUGAAUGGUGUAUGGUGAUGAUGGUGAAAGUCUAAUUCUACUUUUGCUCUUUUGAGGGGAUACAUACCUUUCUUGCACUUUGAAGGUUUUUGAGAGGAAUGAGAUGCUCUAUAUUUUCUUUUUUUUUCUCUCAGGUGGGUAUCUUGUACCCCUAAUUCUACUGUCGGACACUUGUCCAUUUUUACCACUCGUCUCACUUAUUCUUUUCUUUGAGGUUCCGGGCACUUGCCCCUUUUUAUUUCCACGUAUUUUUUUUCUCUUUUUUUUUCAGAGCACUCACCCUCCUAGAAUAAUGUAGCAAGUGGUAGUAACCAAAAUAUCAAGAGCAUUUAUUUCACGGGGAAUAAUAGGGAUAGGAUAAUAUUUUUGGCUAUUCUCUCCUGGAUAGGAGUAGAAUAGUUUUAGGUGAAUCUGGAGAUGGAAAGGAGUGGAUGUAUGUGGAUGCCUACUUCUAGAGUAGAAGCAGCAUGUAUGAGUGAACGUGCAAGUGAAUCUUGAUUUUAACCGCAUGACAAGCUCCUAAGGGUCUACACAGCUUGACCACACUCAAUGCUCAUAAGCAGUAAAACGUAAAUAUAUGGUUCAUAGUCUAAUAAGCAUGUAUAUGUGGCUGUGGUAGAAUUUUAAACUCUCAUCAUACAGGAACUCAUCAUGCAAUAUUUUAAAGAUUUUCAAAGAUAAAAUUCUCCAGAAUUCUAGCAUCUCUAGGAACAGAUAAACAGCAGCUCAACCUUCCCAUAUCA